rnacentral:rRNA from 1 species
CGUGGGUAACCUUCCCUGGAGCGGGGAUAACAUUCCGAAAGGAGUGCUAAUACCGCAUAAGACCACACCCUCGAAAGAGGGAGAGGUAAAAGCAGGCCUCUUCACGAAAGCUUGCACUUCAGGACGGGCCCGCGGCCCAUCAGCUAGUUGGUAGGGUAACGGCCUACCAAGGCAUAGACGGGUAGCUGGUCUGAGAGGAUGAUCAGCCACACUGGAACUGAGACACGGUCCAG